rnacentral:rRNA from 1 species
CCCUUAGAUGUCCGGGGCCGCACGCGCGCUACAAUGGAUGAAUCAACGCGUCAUCCUGGCCCGAAAGGGUUGGGGAACCGCUGAACCUCAUCCGUGGUUGGGAUUGGGGUUUGUAAUUAUUCCCCAUGAACUAGGAAUUCCCAGUAAGCGCGAGUCAUAAGCUCGCGUUGAUUACGUCCCUGCCCUUUGUACACACCGCCCGUCGCUACUACCGAUUGGAUGGUUUAGUGAGAUCCUCGGAUUGGUCACGGCACGGUGGCAACACUGCGUCGGUGUGCCGAGAAGACGAUCAAACUUGGUCAUCUAGAGGAAGUAAAAGUCGUAACA